AAAGAAGAAAGAAAUAGCCUCUCCUAGGCUUUGUCUGUUAUAUUUGGCGAGACAUAGCCUAACUGAGGUUAAUUCUGAUUCUUUUA
rfam:Oryctes borbonicus contig19660, whole genome shotgun sequence.